GUGCUCACUUUGGCAGCACAUAUACUAAAAUUGGAACAAUACAGAGAAGAUUAGCAUAGCCUCUGUGCAAGGAUGACACACAAAUUUCUGAAGCAAUCCAUAUUUAA
rnacentral:snRNA from 1 species